rnacentral:misc_RNA from 1 species
UUGAAUCCAAAGGAUGUUGCUGGCCUUUCGGGGCAUGUGCACUCCACCUUUUCAAUACACCUGUGAACUUAUUGUAGGCGCAGAUGUGCCUACGUUUUUAAUACACCCUUAAAAAGUCUAUUGAAUGUCUAAUUGUGGCCUUUGAUGGUCAACAAACUUAAUA